rnacentral:rRNA from 1 species
UACGAAGGGGGCUAGCGUUGUUCGGAAUUACUGGGCGUAAAGGGCGCGUAGGCGGCUUCGAUAGUCAGGCGUGAAAGGCCUGGGCUCAACCCAGGAACUGCGCUUGAUACUGUGAGGCUAGAGUGUGGGAGAGGAUGGUGGAAUUCCCAGUGUAGAGGUGAAAUCCGUAGAUAUUGGGAAGAACACCGGUGGCGAAGGCGACCAUCUGGACCACUACUGACGCUGAGGCGCGAAAGCGUGGGGAGCAAACAGG